AUGGAAAAUUGUCAAUAAUAUUUUCAGUUAGAAGCAAUUACCUGUGACAUACGUUUGUUACAAAAUAUGUUUGUAUGCUCCCUGCCACCGACUGCACUUUUCUUUUCAGGCUGUAUGGUCAGGCCACUCAAGGUGGCUGUGGUUGUGCUCCCUGUACAUCCCCUGCUUGACCAGUGCCUGCCUCACUCACAUGACUAUCCAAUCCUCCUAAUUAUGGGGCUUAAUCAGUGGCUUCCUAGGUGCUUGCCCCCUGCCUCAGCUGCUGGUUUCCCUGGUAACUGAUGAGCCAACCGGACGUCAGUUCCUCCUAUAAAUGGUAGCUUCGUUCUCCCUCGAGUCGGGAACAUUGCAGCAGUGCCUUGCCUGUGGGGUGCCGUGCACAGUGGGAUGUCACUCCAGGACCUUUUGUUUCAGACAGGAAGUGGACCAAGAUGGGUUUGUCAACCAGACGUGAAGUCGUGGGACGACACUGUGUGAGAGACAGCCUAUUAACUUGCAGUUCCAGGCCCAGCGAUCUGUAACUAACUGCAGAGGCCACCACAUGUGCAGGGUUUAAGUGUCACCUCCUAAGUUCCAUGUGUCCUUCAAAAUCUGUGAUGGUUAUGUGGGUGUAUCUGACUGUCAAAAUGGAACCAAUGGAACACUAAAGCAACGGGCAUUUUAUUACAUACAAUGUACACUAUCAUUGACAAAAAUCUAAAUGGACUGUCUUCAGAAAUUUGGAGUUCCAUACCAGUGGAAGUCUUCAAGCAAAGACCAAGAGACAGAAUCACUAAACAAAUGGACUAGAUGCCUGGCUUUUGAGUUUCAGAAUGCACUGGAAUCAGAGCUCGUAAAUGUACAAAAUCAAAGUAGCCCAACUCCCAGAGACUCAUUUAAUAAGAAUAAGACGGGACUCAG